UACGUAGGGUGCAAGCGUUAAUCGGAAUUACUGGGCGUAAAGCGUGCGCAGGCGGCUUUGCAAGACAGAUGUGAAAUCCCCGGGCUUAACCUGGGAACUGCAUUUGUGACUGCAUGGCUGGAGUGCGGCAGAGGGGGAUGGAAUUCCGCGUGUAGCAGUGAAAUGCGUAGAUAUGCGGAGGAACACCGAUGGCGAAGGCGGCAUCCUGGACCAAUAUUGACGCUGAGGAGCGAAAGCCAGGGGAGCAAACGGG
rnacentral:rRNA from 1 species